rnacentral:lncRNA from 1 species
AACCUAGAUCCAGACGAUCUGCACGACUUAUACAUUUUAAUUACAGCCUGUAAUAUAUUUUAUCUGAGAAUAAUCUUUUCCUCAUCAUUAUAGGGUUUUUUCUCUUCUAGAAAAUUACUUUCAGUAUAAAUUGUACCACCAUAAAUGUAUAUAUGUAUGUAGAUUUCAAGGACUAGGAGAGCCAUGGAUUCCAUUGUAUAUCUGGAGAACUCAUUACCUUAUAAUUUUGGUUUGUGAAAUUAUGAUGAUGCUGUUGAUGUAUCAGCCCUUUCUGUAGGAAGCAGGUCUAAAU